CAGGUAAGGCUGACUGGCCUGCAGUUCCCUGGGCCCUCCCUCUGACCUUCUCGAAGGCAGAAGUGACAUUUGCUUCCCUCCAGUCCCCAAAUACCUCUCCCACCUGCCAAGACCAGUACCUGCCCUCCAGCAGACACCGGCAGGGCUGAAGUCCCCCAUGAGGCUGCGAACCAAGGCCAGGGCAACACGGGGCUG